UUCAUAUGGUGUCAACAAUGGAGCGGGAAAUGCAUAGCCCCAAUCUAUGGAAAGCCUUGGACAAGCGACCUGAAUCCACGCGUCAAUAUCAGAGAAUUGACCCAAUCUACUAGGAAAAAUUUCUGACAUUAAAACGCAAACGAAAUCUUUAUUAUUUUUCCUUAAAGUAUUCUUUAAAUUUUCGAGUACCUUAGGAGACCCCUGUCGACCCAGUGUACCUUGAAUUAGACCGAACUUUUUAGCGGUACGAGCUUUCUCAACGGCGGAAUACCGAAUAGAUUUCAUUUCUUCAUGAGCAUAAGAUUCAAUAGAGAGCUUAUGUGAGUAAGGAUCAUAGCGGUAUGCGGGCAAAUCAGGAUUAGCAAUCAUGACAGAUUCCAAAUGGAAUCUUCCGUCACCAAUGUAAAUUAAUGCAUCUACAGAUCCUUUUUCAAUAUAGGGAGAUGUACAUCCCAACGCCUCUCCAGGAGAUAAUGGCUUUGCUUGUGGAAUAACAACGUAAAAACCUCCCUUUCCGUCUU